rnacentral:rRNA from 1 species
GACGAACGCUGGCGGCGUGCUUAACACAUGCAAGUCGAACGGAGUGGCGAACGGGUGAGUAACACGUGGGUGAUCUGCCUUGCACUUCGGGAUAAGCUUGGGAAACUGGGUCUAAUACCGGAUAGUGCAAGAUGAGCUCGCGGCCUAUUAGCUUGUUGGUGGGGUAAUGGCCUACCAAGGCGUCGACUGGUAGCCGGCCUGAGAGGGUGUACGGCCACAUUGGUACUGAGAUACGGAGCAGACGCGUACGGUGGGCAGCAGGCGGGAACAUGGCACAACGGGGCGGCGCGUGAGGCAGCGACCUUGCGGGGGGGAUGAAGGUCUUCGGGUUGUAAACGCCUUUCGACAGGGACGCGGUACCUGUAUAAGAAGCACCGGCUAACUACGUGCCAGCAGCCGCGGUAAUUC